AAUAAAAUCCUUAAGGAAAAAAAAAAUAGCUAACUAGUUAAAAUGUUUGAAAAAAAAAUUCCCCUGCUGUAAUUUUUAUGUAACUUAGGUAAGCCUUCUGAGAAGCAGGGUGAAUAUUGUUGAGGGAGUUAGGACACCUGGUCCUCUGCUAGCUGGGCCACUGGCUCGUCAUGUAAUGAAAGGAGAGCAGACUUAACCCCUCCAUGCCUCAGGUUUUCCCAUCAGACACCUACCUCACAGGGGCACUGAGACAAAGAAUUUAUGUCUCUAAACAUAUUUAAGUGCCAUGAGUAACUUUUACUAACUAUAUUUCAUAGCUCGGUAAGAGUUCUAUGUCUUAUGAGCAAGGUAGGUGCUACAUGUGAAAGUCAUCUCCGUAGGUGUCAUAAUUAUGAACUUGUCCUCAGAAGGCAGUGAUAUCUUCAGGAAUUGUUUUCCAUAAUCCAUUCCUUUCUCGUAAAGGACAAUGGAAGUUCUUAGAAGAAUAUCCUCAAUAAAAGAAGAGUAACGUUUCUUUGCUGCUUCCCUCACAUCCCAGCCCCAGCCCUUUUCUGUUCAUCGUCAGAAAGAAUUCCCCUUUCCCCUGAACUUUUCAAGGGGUUUGUAUGGUAGUACCAAAGGGACAGUGCACAUCUAAAAAUGACACAUCCCCAAAGGGGAAUUGUGGAAGAUGUUUUGUUUCAUUUACUUGUUUUUAUUUUAAAAUGCAUUGUAAAUAUUCCUCGUUAGAGCCAUAUCAGAUACAAUAAACAUUUAGAGAGGUUCCAUGUUACAAAGUCAAGCAAUUAUCUUUGGAAUCUGCUCAUCUAAUCUAUGUCUAAAAUCUCAGUUUCUCAAUUAAUAGUUAUCUUGUUUAAUCAUCAGGUACCCCUGCCUCUACCUCUUUACCAGUCUUUCCUGUUAGAUGUCCUCCUCUGUCUGCCCUUCUGUCCCUCAGCUAGAAGUUGCAACAGAUACCAGGUUUUCCCAAUAAAGUAAAAGUUUGGUAUCAAAAGAAAUAUAUCAGUUUCCAUUCAUUUUAGUGCCUGACUAAAUCUAACGUGAUUUAUUUUAAACACAUGCUGCAUUUUCAUGUUUGUAUAUAAUUUUCAUAUGUCCAGAUAAUGAUUGGUUUGCUAUUUUUCUGUCCAAUCUAAUAAUUCUGGCUCUGAAAAUUAUUUUAAACUCAUGUGAUCAGUCUGAUGUGCCCAUAUGCCCCCAUUUAUUGGUUUGGUUUGGACAGUGAUUCUAGGAUGAAUACUACUUAGUAAAUAUGCUGUUUUGUACAAAGUAUGACAAUUCUUUUUUAGGGAAGUCAGUUUUUAAAAUUAUUGCCUUUUCUUUAUUAUUGUAGAAAUUUUUCAAAAGGAAGAAAAAAUUGGUUCUAAUAACCUAUGUGCUGCUCAAAAUAUGUCAUCACCUAGAACAUUAUAAUAGGUUGCUAUGAAAAUAACUGAAGUCUUCCUCAGGAGAAGGAAAGAAAAAGAGAAAGUAACAGCCAGAAUGGUAGAGUUCUGGAGGCCCCCACGAGCUCACUUGAGGGGGGCCCUACACAGCUGAAAUGCAACAAAACUGGUUUCUAGUAUUCUCCAGGGAUGUGGGCUUAGAACAAUUGGUAGGAAUAAGACUUAUUUUUGAACAUCCAAUUUGGGUUCUUCAAGUAAUCUCUAGACAUGGGAAUCCGUUUCCGAGACAGUUCAUGGGGCGUACCUGUGCACUUCUCGAGGUCUUCUCAGGAGCACUGAGCAACGGGAGAUGUGGUUUCACACCCAGAAUGAUUUCAUGUGCCAUUCUUUGUACACAGAGGUGAUUCUAUGCCUCUACCACCAGGAGAACUUCCACUUUAGGUUGUUUGUUCUAGUACUUGGGAAGCAUUUAUGCUCCGUUCAGAGACCAUCUUAUGAUGGCGGGCCGUUUGUGAGAUGGUUAGCCAGCGUUAGCAGUGUCUAUGGCUUUAGACCAGUCGGUUCCUUGCUCUCUGUGCAUGGUGCAUAUCAAGUCAGAAAGCCUAGAAACCAUUUGCAGAUGGCUUUAGACCAGUCGGUUCCUUGCUCUCUGUGCAUGGUGCAUAUCAAGUCAGAAAGCCGAGAAACCAUUCACAUUAAAGUCUAGAUGCAUGAGAAUCCUUGCUCUGAGUUGUUAGUGGGUCAGGAGGGGCUUCAUCUCUCCUCGUGGUAAAAUUAUCCAGCAGUACCUUUAGAGAUUGUCGAGGCAUGAACUAUGAGCUGCCUUUAAUCUUCAGAAGCUGUGUACAGAAGUCUAGGUAUACCACUUACCCCUUGAGAGAAAAAUAGAACCCUAACUUGAUGCUGAGGGGUUUUGUAUUUCUAUUUGCACUGUCCCCAUAGCCACUGACAUAGGCAAAUUCAUGAAAUAGAAUUGAUUCUCUACAUUUUCUCUUAAUUUUUGCCUUUAGGAAAAAUUAAAAUUCUUCAAAGACAGCUAGCUGUCACUGGUGCUGCCCCAAAGCUUUCCCAUUUGUAUGUAUUUUUUAUGAAUGAAAUGGUUGCUACGGGAAGGCCAAGGUUCACCUAAGAGUAUCAUGGUAUAAAUAUAAUGGUUUAGCAACUGUUUUAAUUUUUCUUUUCCUGUGCCAGAUAUAGACUACAAUCAACCCCUUUUCAGUAGCUUCUGUUCAUCGGCCUAUGUUUUCCUGGGCAGUAACUCCCAGAUGCUUUUCUUAGUGAUUAUAAAGCAAGAAAAUCUUAUCUGGGCCUAUGUUGCAAAGGUGGGUGGUCUACUUUCUGGCAAAUUGAGUUGGUGGAUUUUAGAUAAGCCUUUGGGGUUCCUGUCACAGGUUCCUGGGCUCUGAGGAAGGGUUGCACCUCUUUUACUCUGAGUGUUUUGAGUAUUUUUCAAGUGUUUGUAAGUUCUCUUACACUCCUCUAAUAAAAAUGAAAGCUAUCUGUCAAGGAAUGGCUUUGGAUGGUUCAGAGAUCUGGGGGAAAAGAAAUAAGUGCACCUGAGACAUUCAGUUGGUCUUUUAUUUAUUUAGAAUGAAAAGUAUUUUGAUAAGCUCCAAGACUUAGUACUGCUUUAAAAACACUCUGAAAAGAUGGCAACUGUCCCUCAGGAAAGCCAUAAAAGCUACUCCCAAUACAUCGCAAUUGCUUUUGAUUUUUAGUCCUUUGGAGCAAAUGUCUGAUGUUAUGUCUGAUGUUAUGUUUUUAGAGCUGUGGGGGGAAACGUCUAAACAGUUUUAGGGGGUAGUAUUGAAAUGAUUAUCUGGCUGAAUUACGUGUGAGCUAGAUUCUAGGGCAGCCGUCCAGGUCUUUUUCUGUUGUCCUGACAGUAACGCAGGUAGUGAGCCGUGUCUUGAAAAGUGAUUUGCUUAUUUCCUACUGACAUCUAAAGACAUUAGCCUUCUGUUUGGCAACCCUGGGGGUACCCCUCUGCACCGUGACUUAUUGAUGUUUUUUUAGACAAGGCUAACCUGGACGACUCUCUGUAUUUCUAGUUUCAGUAUUCAUAUACCAGCUGCUAAAAGAAAAACCAUAACUUAUAAUCUUGUCUUGAAAUUACUCCUAAUUGUGAAGUUCACCUAAAUUCUUCAUGUUUAGGGAGGAUUGCUGCUAGUAACGUCAGUUUGCAGUGUUCUGCUUAGGUGUGUGUCAUAUGGGAGUCUGGAAUCUGUAAUAAAUAUGAUUGUAUUAAUGUACUGAC